rnacentral:rRNA from 1 species
CCUACGGGUGGCAGCAGUGAGGAAUAUUGGUCAAUGGUCGCGAGCCUGAACCAGCCAAGUAGCGUGAAGGAUGACUGCCCUACGGGUUGUAAACUGCUUUUAUGAAGGGAUAAAGUGAGGCACGUGUGCCGUUUUGUAUGUACUGUAUGAAUAAGGAUCGGCUAAUUCCGUGCCAGCAGCCGCGGUAAUACGGAGGGUCCGAGCGUUAUCCGGAUUUAUUGGGUUUAAAGGGAGCGUAGAUGGCUUGUUAAGUGAGUUGUGAAAGGUUGCGGCUCAACCGUAGAAUUGCGAUGGAUACUGGCAGCCUUGAGUACAGUGGAGGUAGGCGGAAUUCGUGGUGUAGCGGUGAAAUGCUUAGAUAUCACGAAGAACUCCGAUUGCGAAGGCAGCAUACUAAACUGCUACUGACACUGAUGCUCGAAAGCGCGGGUAUCAAACAGGAUUAGAUACCCGUGUAGUC